UCGCAUUCUAUGCUUUCUUUGCCCCUUUCCUUGGAGGCCAAAUCUGGGAGUAUGCCUUGUUUGGCACUUAUUCGCUGGUGGUGCGCAAGUUCAGCAAACACUGCAGAAGUUGUGAUAAAUGUGUGGAUGGAUUUGAUCACCAUUGUCGGAUGUUUUUGGACAUACAAAAGUGGAUAUGUUUUUGUUGACAAGUACGUGAGGACAUUGUGGUACAAAAGUGGAUAUGUUUUUAUAUAGUGGUUUGUACAAAAUAUUUUUUUGGUAGAGUAAAUAUCAGCUAAUUUGGUAGAAAUUAACAUAGCACGUGGUACAAAAUAGUUUUGUGGCAGUAUAGAAUAUAAUUUUUGUUGUGGUACAGAAGUUAUAGGUGUACAAUUAAUUUCGUUAUUCCAGUAUUAUGUAUGGAAUUAAAUUCUUGACGUGGGAUUAGACAUGGUUCUUAUGAAAUUUGUAAUAUAUAUAUAAGUGGACGUUCAAUAUUAAUUUUUUGGAUGGUUGGAACUGAAAUGUGUGCACGUUGUUGAAUGCUUGAUAACAUAUUUACCGUUGAUGGAU